GGGUGCGAUCAUACCAGCACUAAUGAAUUGGAUCCCAUCAGAACUCCGAAGUUAAGCGUGCUUGGGCGAGAGUAGUACUAGAAUGGGUGACCUCUUGGGAAGUCCUCGUGUUGCACCCC
rnacentral:rRNA from 1 species